rnacentral:rRNA from 1 species
CAGCAGCCGCGGUAAUACGAAGGGUGCAAGCGUUACUCGGAAUUACUGGGCGUAAAGCGUGCGUAGGUGGUCGUUUAAGUCCGUUGUGAAAGCCCUGGGCUCAACCUGGGAACUGCAGUGGACACUGGGCGACUAGAGUGUGGUAGAGGGUAGCGGAAUUCCUGGUGUAGCAGUGAAAUGCGUAGAGAUCAGGAGGAACAUCCAUGGCGAAGGCAGCUACCUGGACCAACACUGACACUGAGGCACGAAAGCGUGGGGAGCAGACAGGAUUAGAUACCCUGGAAGUCCACGCCCUAAACGAUGCGAACUGGAUGUUGGGUGCAAUUUGGCACGCAGUAUCGAAGCUAACGCGUUAAGUUCGCCGCCUGGGGAGUACGGUCGCAAGACUGAAACUCAAAGGAAUUGACGGGGGCCCGCACAAGCGGUGGAGUAUGUGGUUUAAUUCGAUGCAACGCGAAGAACCUUACCUGGCCUUGACAUGUCGAGAACUUUCCAGAGAUGGAUUGGUGCCUUCGGGAACUCGAACACAGGUGCUGCAUGGCUGUCGUCAGCUCGUGUCGUGAGAUGUUGGGGUUAAAGUCCCCGCCAACGAAGCGCCACCUCUU